AUUUGUUGAGUCUCUGCGACUAAAUUCUUCAUAUCGGGUCAAAGAGAAGGUUAGGUCGGAGCAGCAUACUCGCAUGCAAAGUUCGUUUAGGGUUAACUUAUGUUAACGUACGUCAAUUUAUCUUACGGCCCCUGGUAUUAAGCUUUGGUCUAUCAUUUAAUUUUCUAGGCAUUUAAACUAAAAGACUAAUUAGACAAAAAAAAAAACUAAUAGACUAAUAGCACCACAGCUCAAGAAUAUUGUUGAACAUUCGUGUCAUGUAUUUGAAAAAACUUUAUUUUCAUGUAAUUUUUUAAAAAAGAUUUGUACUUAAUAAAAAGCUUUAACACGAA